rnacentral:rRNA from 1 species
AGAGUUUGAUUCUGGCUCAGGAUGAACGCUGGCGGUAUGCUUAAUACAUGCAAGUCGUACGAGAACUUUUAGUUCUAGUGGCGGACGGGUGAGUAACACGUGAGAAUCUGCCCUUAGGAGGAGGAUAACAGCUGGAAACGGUUGCUAAUACUCCAUAUGCCGAGAGGUGAAAGGAUUUAUCUGCCUAAGGGGGAGCUCGCGUCUGAUUAGCUAGUUGGUAGGGUAAUAGCCUACCAAGGCGACGAUCAGUAGCUGGUUUGAGAGGAUGAUCAGCCACACUGGGACUGAGACACGGCCCAGACUCCUACGGGAGGCAGCAGUAGGGAAUUUUCCGCAAUGGGCGAAAGCCUGACGGAGCAAUACCGCGUGAGGGAUGACGGCCUGUGGGUUGUAAACCUCUUUUCUCAAGGAAGAAGCUCUGACGGUACUUGAGGAAUAAGCAUCGGCUAACUCUGUGCCAGCAGCCGCGGUAAUACAGAGGAUGCAAGCGUUAUCCGGAAUCACUGGGCAUAAAGCGUCUGUAGGUGGUUUAGUAAGUCUGCUGUUAAAGACUGGGGCUCAACCCCAGAAAAGCAGUGGAAACUGCUAGACUUGAGUGUGGUAGAGGUAGAGGGAAUUCCUAGUGUAGCGGUGAAAUGCGUAGAUAUUAGGAAGAACACCAAUGGCGAAGGCACUCUACUGGGCCAUAACUGACACUGAGAGACGACAGCUAGGGGAGCAAAUGGGAUUAGAUACCCCAGUAG